AGACUGUCAGGAAAAGCUGUUUUUAAAAAAAUAUUAAAAACCACAUGAGAAUAAAAAAUCAGUUUGGCAGGAAACCUGAAGAAUAUUUGAUAAAAGUGGUUUCUGUUAGUCUUGGCCCAAAGAAAACGUCUUAGCUCUUUGCUAGAACCGGGCAGCGUGGUGGAAAAAAAAAGAUGCAGUGUCUCCUUCUCUUGCCUAAUCUUUUGGCAGACAAAUGGAUCAUUCUGACAUCGUGUUAGAAGUGUCAGCCUUGUAUUGGACACCCCAAAGAUACUGUACUUUAUGGUGGCAUUACUUCUGGGCAUUGUUGCUGCUUAAGGAAGAGCUGCCAGUCUGCUUUGUAACAGAAGCCUCUUUUAAAACACCUUUAAAAGGAAGUACUUCCAUAGAAGGAAGGAGAAAGAAGGAGAAACAGAAUGGCACUUAGAUCUGUUCUGAAGAAGGAAAAGAAGAGCAUAACUCCAGUCAAAACUUGUUUAAAGAAAUUGUUGGGGCAGAGUUCAGCCGCCUCUACAGCAGUUCCACUUCCCGGAGGGGGCAAAAAGGAAAGCCGGAGGCAGAGCUGUGCAGUGUGGUUGACAAGGGCCUGGUUGUCAUUAUUCUCUCACGCCAGUAUGAAAGAGGGGAGGAAUGCUGUUUCCUGACUGAUUCCUGGUGCCCCCUGCCCGGGCUGAUAAGUAAAUUGCAUCAGAGCUAAUGACGAGUUAAAAGAAAUGUACACUGAUUCCAGAUGCGGAAGUGGUGGCAGGCUCAAAGAGGAAGGUUAGAUUUUUUUUCUUUCUUUUCUCUUUUAAAGGCCUUUGCCUUUUGCAUUCCAAGGGAAUAAAAACAAAGCAAAGUCUGGGC
rnacentral:lncRNA from 1 species